rnacentral:rRNA from 1 species
UACGUAGGGUGCAAGCGUUAAUCGGAAUUACUGGGCGUAAAGCGUGCGCAGGCGGUGAUGUAAGACAGGUGUGAAAUCCCCGGGCUUAACCUGGGAACUGCAUUUGUGACUGCAUCGCUGGAGUGCGGCAGAGGGGGAUGGAAUUCCGCGUGUAGCAGUGAAAUGCGUAGAUAUCUGGAGGAACAUCAGUGGCGAAAGCGACUUCCUGGACCAAUACUGACGCUCAUGUGCGAAAGCGUGGGGAGCAAACAGG